AUUGAACGCUGGCGGCAUGCCUUACACAUGCAAGUCCAACGGUAACAGGUCUUCGGAUGCUGACGAGUGGCGAACGGGUGCGUAAUACAUCGGAACGUGCCCGAUCGUGGGGGAUAACGAAGCGAAAGCUUUGCUAAUACCGCAUAAGAUCUACGGAUGAAAGCAGGGGACCGCAAGGCCUUGCGCGAACGGAGCGGCCGAUGGCAGAUUAGGUAGUUGGUGGGAUAAAAGCUUACCAAGCCGACGAUCUGUAGCUGGUCUGAGAGGACGACCAGCCACACUGGGACUGAGACACGGCCCAGACUCCUACGGGAGGCAGCAGUGGGGAAUUUUGGACAAUGGGCGAAAGCCUGAUCCAGCCAUGCCGCGUGCAGGAUGAAGGCCUUCGGGUUGUAAACUGCUUUUGUACGGAACGAAAAGACUCUGGUUAAUACCUGGGGUCCAUGACGGUACCGUAAGAAUAAGCACCGGCUAACUACGUG
rnacentral:rRNA from 1 species